GCGCUUUUCAAUUUCGGUCGUCCAUUGAGUUCUUUGAGCCGAAAUCGAUUGACAUUGUGAAUAUUGGGCCGGCAUUUCGUAGUCACUAUGGAUCGUUUACCCCUAAUUCUCCUUUCCCCCAUUUGCACUGCGAGAUGAGAGCUUCUCCGAUGAAUGAGGAUAAGAAUGAUGAGAAUUUGAAUCUGAUGAAGCAAAACUCGAAAGAUCAGAAGCAAAUGAAUGAGGUUGCUGAAGGGUUCGAGGUUGGGCACUUGACCCGGUUACUGGGUUCGGAGGCAGCAAAUUAUACUGCUGGGUUGGA
rnacentral:misc_RNA from 1 species